UUUUGAGUUUAUCUAAUUAAUUAAAAUAAAUUUAAAAAACAAACAAGAAUUCUCUAGAACCAUUAAUCAAAAAUAUAAAAAGAAUUCUCUAGAUCCCAAUGUAAAGAUGAAGAAGACUAUUCCGAUGCUAAGAUGAAGAAAAUUGUUCUCAGUCUCAAAAAUUCUAUUGCAAAAUUUCAUCUCCUUCAUUCUCAAUAAAAUAUGUCACCAACUACCCAAAUCUCUUUUUACUCAAAAAAAUAAAAUAAAUACUUGCACAAAAAAAAAAACACAAAUCUCUCAUCACACAAACCACCGUCAAACAGAUCAAGAUUCGCCGUCAUGCAAGCAACAAUUUUUCACCCAAACUCUACGCUCCUUGUUCUCUUGUUUGACUUCUUCCUCUUUGAAACAACAACC
rnacentral:lncRNA from 1 species